GACAGAGGUGGCGAGCGUUGUUCGGAUUUAUUGGGCGUAAAGCGAACGCAGGUGGUUUGGUAAGUCAGAGGUGAAAGACCACAGCUUAACUGUGGCACUGCCUUUGAUACUGCCUUUCUAGAGUGCAUGAGGGGGGAAGCGGAAUUCCGAGUGUAGAGGUGAAAUUCGUGGAUAUUCGGAGGAACACCGGUGGCGUAGGCGGCCACCUGGCUCGGAUCUGACGCUGAGGUGCGAAAGCGU
rnacentral:rRNA from 1 species